UGGCGUGAGCUGUCUCCACGAUGCGCUUCGAGCGUGUCGAUUUCGCCGUUCUUUAUGUUGGCGUUAACGACCUUGAAAGCAACAUGGAUCCACAAGAAAUGUGCGACAACAUCAAGGCCUUGAUUGUUCAACGAGACGGCCCCCGUCGUGCUGGUUUUCAAGGUGCUCCCUCGCUGCCUAGAAGAUGCUGAUGCGAAAUAGAAAAUGCAAAAACGUCGCUUGCUCAACCGCAAAUUGACGGCUACGCUGAAGCGCAUGCCGUGUCUGCGGAAUUUGAACCCCCGAGGUAUGGACCCCCUUUUUCCAGCGGCAUGCCGUUACAUACCGUCAGGAACACGCUUGGCUUAUUUCUGACUCGGUAAAAAAUGUUUCACUUUU
rnacentral:lncRNA from 1 species